GACGAACGCUGGCGGCGUGCCUAAUACAUGCAAGUCGAGCGAAGUUUUUCUGGUGCUUGCACUAGAAAAACUUAGCGGCGAACGGGUGAGUAACACGUAAAGAACCUGCCUCAUAGACUGGGACAACUAUUGGAAACGAUAGCUAAUACCGGAUAACAGUAUUUCUCGCAUGAGAGAUAUUUAAAAGUUGGUUAUGCUAACACUAUGAGAUGGCUUUGCGGUGCAUUAGCUAGUUGGUGGGGUAAAGGCCCACCAAGGCGACGAUGCAUAGCCGACCUGAGAGGGUGAUCGGCCACACUGGGACUGAGACACGGCCCAGACUCCUACGGGAGGCAGCAGUAGGGAAUCUUCCGCAAUGGGCGAAAGCCUGACGGAGCAACGCCGCGUGAGUGAAGAAGGAUUUCGGUUCGUAAAGCUCUGUUGUUAGGGAAGAAUGGAUAUGUAGUAACUAUACAUGUAAGAGACGGUACCUAACCAGAAAGCCACGGCUAACUACGCG
rnacentral:rRNA from 1 species